rnacentral:lncRNA from 1 species
GGGGAGGUCAGAAGUUCCCCAGGCUCACAGUGAGAGGAUCCAAACCCAGCCCUGGGGUGCAGAAAGAGACAGUGAGAUUGUAUGGCUGACUGGACUUGGGACGCCAUGGAGAACUUGAGCUACUCAUGUCGGAGGGCAUAAAGUGGGGAAGAUUCUGAGGAAGAGAGUACAAGCAACUUUCACACAGAAAUACAGAUCUGGUUUAGCUCCAGUCAGGAGCUGAGCUUCUUCGGAUCCUGCUCAUAGAGGGGCUUGCUCGCCGUGCCUGGAAGUGGGGGUCUCAUUCCUGCGCUGCUCAGGAGGAGCGCUGGGGUCCUGCGAUUGGAGCUCUUGCCUUGCCCCUG